GACGAACCGUGCGAACGUUGUUCGGAAUCACUGGGCUUAAAGGGCGCGUAGGCGGGCUAUCAAGUCCGGGGUGAAAUCCUCCAGCUCAACUGGAGAACGGCCUCGGAUACUGAUGGUCUCGAGGAGGAUAGGGGCACACGGAACUGUGGGUGGAGCGGUGAAAUGCGUUGAUAUCCAUAGGAACUCCGGUGGCGAAAGCGGUGUGCUGGAUCCUUUCUGACGCUGAGGCACGAAAGCCAGGGGAGCAAACGGG
rnacentral:rRNA from 1 species